AAGUACUGGCCAUUAGGUUUAUUAAAGUUGCACAUCAUUGAGCUUUUGCAUUUUGCAUAAAACAUUUGUUAUGAACAUGCUUGUGUAUCAUCUAGGUUGUCAAUUAAGAAGCUCCCUUGAUGCUGAAAUUAUAUGCAGGACAUUGGCCAAAUUUAAUGUCCUUGACCAUUGCAGGUGCAUUAAACUACUGGGUUUCAUCAACACACUGUUGACCUAGCAAUGACGAUAAAUGUUAUAUCAGACACUAAAUUUUCACACUCUCUUGGACUUUAGCAAUUUCUAGGACUUACACUAGGAAAAUAUGGACUUUGCUCCAUUUAUACAUGGUUUGAAUCAGCAUGAAGCUCAUCUCUCCU
rnacentral:lncRNA from 1 species